ensembl:lncRNA
UGUGGCUUGUGAAUCAUCAUCAGUAGACUUGUGUAAAACGUUGUGAGGAUCCGGAACCACGGAAACACACGGCCAAUCAGAGAGCAGUUCAGCCCUUUGCAGAAGUAACAGAAGCUGAAGCUAAUCUUAAUGUAGGACCUGUCAAAUACGCCAGCUAGCGAACAUUAGCAUGGCUAGUUAACGCUAGCUAACUAAACCAGGUAAUAAAUAUUAGCAAAAGAUUCUGUUUUUAUUAAUCAGCUGUUGUUUAGUAAUAAUCAGGUCUUCAUUAUUGAGUAAGUGUUUUAGCAGUCAGUGUUUUAAUCAAUCAGCUUUUGAAAUUAAUCUCUAACGUCCUUUCAGUAGUCCCUUCGUUUUUAUUAAUAAAUCUUUUUUUAGUAAUUAAGUCUUUUUUAGUAAUCAAUUUUUUUAAAUAAAAAAUGAUCUGUUUGUGUCAUUGAUUCUUGUUUAGUAAUAAAUUCUCUUUUGAAGAAAUAGUUUUCAGAGACUCUUUAAUGUUCGGUUCUUAUUUUAGUAAUAAAUUCAACUUUUAAGGAACUGAAUCUUUUAAAAUGAUCGACUCAUUUAUUAUUAUAUAUAUAUAAUAUAUUUAUGUUAAUUGAUUCAUGGAACAAAUAAUGAGCUGUAUACGUUUUUUAGUACGUGAUUUACAGUUUUUAUGUAAAUAAUUCAUUAUUUUAGUAAACUAUUUGCUUAUUAGUAAUCGAUUAUUUGUUUUUGUUAAAAGAAAAGAAGUAGGAAUUGUUUCUGAAAACUUUUCAGAUCAGAAUCAAUGGAAAGAGCCACAUGUCUGUUUUUCUGAUUAAGCGUUGCACACUUCCCUUCAAUCUUUGUGAUGCCACAAACAAAAUAGCUGACGUGUGAAUAAGAGAAACCACUAGCUAACUAACGUAGCGAACCUGACAACGAUGAAAACAAAUGAAAAGUCGAUGGAACAAAAUAAGUACAUAUUCAGGUAAAAAAUCACUUUCCUUUAUCAUUAUUUAAAAAAGAGACGCUUUCACUUUCACUUACGCUUACGAAUCGUUGUGUGUUUACUUAUUUUUUUCGAGGCUUUGGUUAGCUAUUUAGUUAUCUAGCUAGCACUGAACUGAAGAGACCAUCCACUUCUAAUGCCCAUAAUAAAGCAACACGUGUGUGUGUGUGUGUGUGUGUGUGUGUGUGUGUGUGUGUGUGUGUGCGUGUGUGUUCUGCAGCCGCGUUCAACUGUUAGUGCUACAAAUUGUGACAGAAUUGUUUUACUGCUGUACAAUCAGGCAGUGGCCCAGACAUACCACACACACACACACACACACACACACACAAAAUCUGUAUCCCAUAUUUAUAAUUUUACCACAUCCUAACAAUAACACACGCAGCACUGGUGCAAAACACACAGCCAGAGCUAAUGAAUCUCUCUCUCUCACACACACACACACCCAAACACACACAGCCACAGAGAGCGUUAAGUAAAACCAGCUGUGUGAUUGGGGUGGGUUGUGGGGGGGGGGGGGGGGUGUUAGAGGGACAGAGAGAGACAGAAAGACAGUGUGUGUGUGUGUGUGUGUGUGUGUGUGUGUGUGUGUGUGUGUGUGUGUAUGUGUGUGUGUGUGUGUGUUAAAGGAAUAGUUUACUCAGGUAUUAACGGUACAAAGUGUCUCCUAUGUUUUGUGCUUGAGGUUACAGUGAUAAAGUCUGUCACCCAAAAUCUUAUUCAUAAACAGUCUGUUCUGUACGUGGUUCAGGAGACACUAUCUGACACAGAGGAGUCUUAGCAAAAUGCGCUAAUAUAAAAACACAAAUGAAGUGAUUCCGGUUGCCCAAGAUGGCGGCCAUCGUAAAUAACCUUCGAGUGUUGAGCUACAUGAUGAAGUGUGACAGGAAGCCCAUACUAGCAAAGAUUUUGCGUGACUUCCACUACUUGUUAGCUACAUUAGCAUCCAAACACGCCUCAGCUGUUCGUCUACUUUGGCCAAAAAUGUUCCUUUAAGAAAGAGAGUUUGUGUGUGUGUGUGUGUGUGUGUGUGUGUGUGUGUGUGUGUGUGUGUGUGUGUUGGAGGCCCAUGUGAAGUGAGCUGUAGCGUAAAGUCUCUCUGGUUUUGCGGUUCUCUGUCCCUCUCAAGCCCCUGGCGGCCAUCUUUGUUUUGACAGGGAGCUGCAGUUCCAGAAACUUCUCUCAGAUGUGCUGAAGUAAGGGGAAAAACACAACAAGCUCACACACAUCGCCUGGCCUGCUCUCGCCCAGCACACACACACACACACACACACACACACACACACACACAUACAUAUACACACAUACACACAUACACACACACACAUACAUACACACACACACACACACACACACACACACACACACACGGUUAAGUGGAUAUGGACACGUUCGCUUCCUGUGUGUGUGUGUGUGUGUGUGUGUGUAUAGUAAAGGGAAUGUAUUUGGCUUUCUGGCAGAAAACUAUGUUUUAAUCGCUGCGGUUCGGCCUUGAAUACCAACAUGUGAGCGUGCACUGAAUUUCACACACCUCCACAUGUGUUAGUGCUUUGUGAUGUAUAGUUCUCAGGCCAAACACACACACACACACACACACACACACACACACACACAUACACACUAAAAGUGAAAGUAGAAAACACACACACACACACACACACACACACACACACACAGGCUGCAUUAAAACAUUAAAUAUGUCACACCACAGUGCUGUUGUGUUCUGGAUUCUGAUUGGUCAGAAGAUGUUGAUUAACUUUCUAUAACAGCAGUAAAUAAAGUACGGAAAUUAAGUUGAUGGUAAAAACCAUAUAAUUUGUGUUAGCACUUGAUGCUAAGUUUAAUUACAGUGUAAUUUUAGCCGAAUGGAGCACUUUCAAAGUACUUUAUCAACACAUCUGAGGUAAAUGUUCCGGACAAUUCCGUACCGUUUCCACCGUCUUUACAUUGUCUUCAUAUGAACAGGUACAAUCACGCUGUAAAUACACUUACUAUCAUGUGCUAGCACAACAAACAACAGGUUGAACAGCUCUGUAUUGAACGCAUGUUAGCUGUGUUAGCACUUGAUGCUAAGUGACAUUACAGUGUAAUUUUAGCCAAAAGCAGCAUUUUAUUAGUUAUUUAACAACACAUCUGAGGUAAAUGUUGACGUUCUGAACAAUUCUGUAUUGAACAAAUGGUAGCUGUGUUAGCACUUGAUGCUAAGUUACAUUACAGUGUAAUUUUAGCCAAAAGCAGCAUUUUAUUAGUAAUUUAACAACAUAUCUGAGGUAAAUGUUGACGUUCCGGUCAAUUCUGUAUUGAACAAAUGUUAGUUGUGUUAGCGCUUGAUACUGAAUGCUAAUACAGUGUUAUUUUAGCCAAAUGAAGCAUUUUAGCACUAAUUUAUGAAUAUAUAUGAAGUAAAUGUUGAUGUUCCGGACAAUUCUAUAUUGAACAAAUGUUAGCUGUGUUAACGCUUCAUGCUAAGUGACAUUACAGUGUAAUUUAUGCCGAAUGCAGCAUUUUAUUAGUAACUUAACAACAUAUCUGAGGUAAAUGUUGACGUUCCAGACAAUUCCGUAUAAUUUCUAUGGGUACAUUGUCUUCAUAUUGUCUGUAUCAAUCACUUAAACCGCCAUAUACAAGCUAAUUAUAUUGCUAGCCUUAGUUAUUAGCUAACUUUCACCCUAACAACAGUGUUUUCACAGUUAUUACUGCUUGUUCAACUUCACAUUUUUAAUUUAUUACAUUUAAUAAUAAAAAAUACUCAACAAAUUGUAUUAAAAGAAUGUUUUAAUGGCGUUAAUUAAAUAAACUAUAAUAAUUAUAAAUAAUUUAAAUUAAAUUAGUCUCAUGAUUACAGUGUAUAUAAAAUAUACAAAUUAAAUAUGAAAUACUAAAUAUAUUUGAUUUCUAUACUCUGUAUGUGAGGCAGGUUGGUUGAAAAGAUGAAACUGUGAAUUUUCUUCUCGGCUGUGUGUGUGUGUGUGUGUGUGUGUAUGUGUGUGUGUGUGUGUGUGUGCGUUUGAUUGAUUUCUUUCCUCUGGCUUCAUGUUUUUUGCAUGUCCCCCUCAUCUCUGUCCCCCCCUGCGUUGACUUUGGUGAGGCGUCUGAAUAACGAAGGCGGCUCGUUAUGAAAAAUUCCCGCCGUGUCGAGGCGUGAUGUUUUUAGCCACGCAGCAGUAUUAGCCAUGCUAAUUGGGCUCUUUGGACUUAGCCAAUAGAAACGCUAAAUUAAUUAGUCAUGUAGACAAAAUGUCCGAAACAGGAACGGCGACAUAAUUACACCUCCAUCCUACACAAACACACACACACACACACACACUCACACUGCUCUUUUAUUUAUUUAUUCUGAUGUUUCAUUAAUCAGCCUUCGCUUCGUGUGUGUGUGUGUGCGUGUGUGUGUGUGCGUGUGUGUGCGUGUGUGCGUGCGACUCUUUAAUUAACACACUUCAAUACACUUUACAUCCAUCAUCACUCUCUCUUCUCACAUCAUUUUAUCUCUUUUCAUUUUCUCUUUCGUUUUUAUUUUUCCUUCCUUCUUUUCACCUUCUUAAUCUUUUUUCUUAUUCUCACUCCCUCAUUCUUUUCUCCUUUUUCCCUUUGUUCUUUCUAUUUAUCUCAUGUGCUUUUUCUUUUUCCUUUUCCCUUUGACUCUUUUCUUCUUGUUCAUUCUGUCACUCUUCUUCUUUUUUCUAACUUGCUGGUUUUUAAAUUUCACAUGCCUUUUCUUUUUUCCUCACUUGUUCUUUCCUUUUUCCACUUUUUCUUUGCUCACGCCUUCUUUUCCGUCUGUCCUCGCUUCCUACUUCUUUUCUCUUGACGCCUCAUUUUUUGUUGUGACUCAUUUUUUUCUAUUUUUCUCAUUCACUCAUUCAUUUUUUUCCUCGUUUUGUCAAUCUUUUUAUCCUCUUUUCCUCAGUUGUUUUUUGUUACUUUCCUUAUGUCUUUCCUUUUUUCUCUCCUUUCAUCUUUUUAUCUUCUAUACCAUUCUUCUCAAUCACUCGACUUUCAUCUUCUUUUAAUUUUCCCUGCCUUUUAUUAUUUUUCUUUUAUUCACUCUUUCUCUCUGUCCUUCCUCUCUCUUUUCUUUCCCACUUUCUCUUUUUUAUUCUCUUUAUCUCAUUUCAAUCUUUUACAUUCUCACUCUUUUUCCUAUUUCCUUUUCUUUAUUCGUUCUUAAUUUUCAUUUUCUCUCUUUCAUUAUCACUUUAUCUUCUUUCCCCCUCGCUCCUUUUCUUUUUAUGUCCUCUUUUCCUUUUCUAUUUUUUCUUUAUUGCUGUUAAGCGCUUUCAUUCUGUGUUUCUGAAACGGGGAGAAUCAGCGGCUUUUCUACCCUGACAGCAAACACACAUGAUGGUGUGUGUGUGUGAGUGCGUGCGUGCGUGUGUGUGUGUGUGUGUGUGUGUGUGUGUGUGUGUGUGUGCGUGUGUGCGUGUGUGUGUGUGUGUCAGAAGGAGAUGGAGCUGAUGAAGGAGCUGCUGAUGUCGUGUUUCAUUCUCCUCUUGAAGUGGAAAUGAGGCUCACAGUCAGCAUCCUCCCACCCACACACACACACACACACACACACACACACACACACACACAAGGUCACAAAAUGGAGAGUGACACAUUCCUUCUCAGCUUCUUUAAAGUGCACACUUCAGUCAAAGGAAGUGUGUGAAGGUGUAAUUUAGCUCUUUUGGAGUUUAUAAGUGCUGACAAAAUGCCCUGUACACACACAUACACAUACACACACACACACACACACACACACACAUACACACACACACACACACACACACACACACACACACACAAUACGAAUACAUAUUAGGAUUAGUGACGAACAAUGGCGUUGCUUGUUCUCGCUACCAGUUCCUCCCUAGCUUUUCUGUACACACCCACACACACACACACACACACACACACACACACACACUUGGUGAUAGCAUAAAUAACUGUGCUGCAGAAUAAAUAGUUUACAGCAGGAAACACAGUGAUGACAUCAUCACUCCACACACUGUAGUGUGAACAUGAACACACACCAUGUCUACACUCUACACACUCAGCUCAGAUAGGACUGUGUGUGUGUGUGUGCGUGUGUGUGUGUAAUGGUAUCGUGAUUAAAAAGUUAAGCCCGGCUGCGUUUCUAAUUAAUUAAGGAGGAGAGGCAGCAGCGAUUAGUGUGAGAUGAGGCUCUGAUAGUCGUGUGUGUGUGUGUGUGUUUUCUGAAAGCACCUGCCUCAAACUACAACCACUGGAAUGUAACAGAGGCCACCAUCUUGGACGGCCGGAAUCAAUUUUCUAUUUUUAGUGCAGUUUGAUAGCAAUCCGCCCCCUUAAGCCCCACCCCAAGCCCCACCCCUUAUGCCUCACUCCAAGCUCCGCCUCCCAGAGUAUGAAGGAGUAUGAAAUUGAGUUCUAAUGCAAAUAUAAAACUGAAUCUUAGCUGAUCCGCUAUAUUUCGGGGAUAUUGUGGAUAUUUUCACUGGAUUAUUCAUUUAGUGUCUCGCUCUAUCUGUCUGCCUGUCUCUCUCUCUCUCUAAUCCUGGGUUACUAUCUCUCAUCCAUCCCGUUGCUGACUUAACUUUAAUGACUGUUCAAUAUCCAAUUCAUUAAAGUGGCUGUUUUAUUUGUGUGUGUGUGUGUGUGUGUGUGUGUGUGGUAAAUGGGGGAUGGGGGUGGGGGGCACUUCCUGUGAUGAGUUUGGCCAUAUAGACACACUGUGAGCACUUUGACGUGUCUGUGUGUGUGUGUGUGUGUGUGUGUCCUAGUGACAGAUCCUUCAGUCGAUUCGGCCUUUCUACAGAGAGAGAGAGAGAGAGAGAGAGAGAAAGAGAGAGAGAGAGAAAGAGAAAGAGAGAGCGAGAGAGAGAGAGAGAGCAGUAUUUCAUCCCUCACUCCGGGACUGUAAUUGCCUCUGCAGUGCCUCGUCAUUAGAAAGAAGUGACAAGUGAGCUUAACUAUGGCUUCAGGACAGGAUCUAUCUCUCUUUCCUUUCUUUCUCAUUCUCUCUCUCUCUCUUUCAUUUUUAUUUAAGUACAGUAGUUCUUCAGGGGUUCUUUAAGGGUCAAUUAGAUAAUUACAGGUUCUUAGCCUCUUAGUUCUACAAGGAACGCUUCUAACAGGAACAGCCGCUGUCACGAGGUAGUACAUGAAAGGUCUAACGGUUCCUCCAGGGCGAGAAUCUAAGGAACGUUGCGUUUUUCCUUCACGUGUGAUGUUAUUUCAUUUCAGGAAAGAAUUAAACACGGUUUUAAUAAUGUGUGAAAAUAAAGUGCGCUCAGAAAAAAGUGUUCUUCAAUGGUCUAGUAAGGGUUCACUGAAUAAUGACAGGUUCUUUGUUCAUAUCUAGAGCUCUCUGUGAUAGUAAAACACUGGUUCUAUGAGGAACCUUAAAGAGUUACGAGCUCUGUCAAGGGUUUAAGAGAUCACUGGAUCAUUACAGGUUCUGAGAACCCCUUCGGAGACACCGUUAGUAGGUUCUAAGGAGUCUGGGAGGAUUUGACGGAUUUCCCCAGAGGAACUAAAGAAUCUGUAAGGGUUCUACAUUUUGUAGGAGUGUACAUGAAUUUAUUCAGAAGUGCUUUUCCUACACGGAGCGACUUUAAAUAUGUAAAUAUUAUUUUUUUAAAAAGUGAACUGUAUUGAGUAGUGAAAUUCACUCUGACGGCAUUAAUACAUACAUUUUACUGAAACGCGGUGAGGGGAGAAAGAAGGAGUCAGGAGUGCUGGAGGGAGAGAAUAAAAGAGAGAGCGAGUGUGUGUGUGUGUGUGUGUGUGAUGGAGGGAUACAGUAGGAGAGCGCUGGUGUCGUGCACUCACACUCCAAGUGCACUGAUAUUGAUUCGCAGGAAGACAGGAAGCGUCAUAGGGAGAGCGAGACCUCGAGAACAAGUCCCUAAAUCCCUCCAGCAGAGAGACACGGAGACUCGGCUCUGCUAAAGCUCGGCUCUGAUCUGUUCCACACGGCCGAGGGGGGAAGAAAGACAGAACAGAAGAGAGCUCUGUCACCUGCAGAGUGUUAGAGGGGACGUGUGGAGAAAACAGAGAGAGAGAGAGAGAGAGAGAGAGAGAGGGAACGUAGGAGGUGCUGAGGGUCCGUGCGGAGCUGAGCUCAGCAUCGUCACUACAAUAUACAAUAACACUGAUUAGACCUGAGACAGGACACACUUGUCCCUCUUUAACCCCUCACACUCACGCGUUACCGCUCGCUCCCUUCAUCCUCACGCGUUACCGCUCGCUCCCUUCAUCCCUCCGCAUGUUUAUUCACUACGAAUUAUUCCAUAGCGCUAACAGGAAAGACGUAUCAUUACGAGAAUGAUGAGAAGAAUAUGUUGUACAAUGUUAUACAUUGUGAAAGAUUUCAUCUUCAUCCACAAAUACAAAAUAAAUAAAUAAAUAAGCAAAUUACAAAACAUAGCUCCUGGUAAAUAAGUCCUGCAUGACCUGCAUUUGCAUAGUGCAACCUGAUUGGCUCUCAUAUUUAAUGAUGUAAUAACACUCUCCUUUAAAGUAAAAACGUGUUUUUUUCAGUAAGAUAAGUAGCUUUCACAGGGGGAAAAACAAGUAUUGAUGAUUUUUUACAUCAGUCUAAAUGUUACAAUGAACUCCCCAAGCUUUUAUUUUUGUUUGUUUGUUUAUUUGUUUAGUCAUUAUAAUAAUAAUUUCCUUUAAUGACCCCUAUGAAAGGUUUUAACUGUAAUAAACAAUAUCAAGCAGAAUCUACUGUUAUAUAUAAUUAAUAAUAACAUUAAUAAUACUAUUUAAUUAAUACUAUUUACUAUAAUACUAUUAAUAAUUAUUAUUAAUUAAUAAUUAAUAAGAGAGACGUGAUGAAACACGUGUAUUUUAAAUGAAUGCUUUAGGAGAGCAGUGUGUUUGUGUGUGUAUGUGUGUAUAUGAAACCGCUCUUGUCUCUGCGGUGUCGCUGUGCUUGUUUACUCACACACAAAAACAAACACACACCCGUCUCAGCCUGAAUUAUGCACAACACUCCGAUGCACAUUCAGCAUCACCAUCUGCUUCGCCUGUGUGUGUGUGUGUGUGUGUGUGUGUGUGUCUUGUGACAUGUGAGUAAACAAGCACAGUGACACUACAGAGAUAACAGCAGUUUUAGGCACACACACACACACACACACACACACACACACACACACACACACACACACACACACUAAGUUCAGUUUAAUUCAGUUCAGAAGGUACAUAAUAGAGAAAGAAUCUCUCUCUCGCUCUCAUACACACACACACACACACACACACACGCCGAUAAGACACAUAUUUUAUAUGAGUGUGAAGUAAAUUGCACAAUGUCUACUUGUCACACUUCAGAUCAUUCUAAAGACGCACACACACACUCACACACACACACACACAGUCUGUGUGUUUAGACUAGAGUCAGGUCCAAGAGUCUGAGUGGGCGACCAAGAGCUGUUUUUAUAUCAUCCGUUAGUGAAAGCUGAUACGACAUUUUCCUCGUCUGAUCCUUAUUAUAAAAGAAUCUGUCGGCUGCGUCCCAAACGCUCGUGUUUAAUAGAAGGCUGCUAACAUGAACAUGUGGUUUGGGACGGGUACCAGUGUACCAGGGACACUGUUCUGCUGUUAGCUACUCACUAACCUGGCCUGCUAGCUAAUGUUUUAGUUUGUGGUUUGAGUUUGAGAUCCGUUCAUUACAUCUGAACGAUACAUUUAUUAAAACAACUGGCGCCUUAAGUUAGACAGCAAACUAGACAUGACAUUUGGGACGGCAUCAUGGGAUAUCUCUGUUUGGCCAUGAAGGACAGUUCCUCUCUGAAGACUUAAGGGAGUUGCACAUACUUUCUAAGAGUUUAAACAAAUAAAGUGAGAUUUGUGCUCGGUGGUUUUCGAGCCUCUACGAACGACGUACUUCAUGAGACGCGCGUUUAAAAAAGCUCGCCGAGCCCCGGCGCUUUUUUCUUUCCUGAGAAACAGAUAGAUUUACAAGGCAUGUGUGCAAAAGUGUGUGAGACUCCCCAGAUCGAAAAAACACAGAAGAUGUUGGCAAGAGCGAAAUUAUACAUCUGUGAAGGUUAAUACCUG